UGUAUUCUACUAGAGCGUUAAUGAGAAAUAAAAAAUUGGAAACGAGAAUAUAGGUUCAUUAUAAAUUUCACUGCUCUCCUCCAGAAUCUCAAUUUUACCACAAUCUUCUUCAGUGUAGAGAAGAUGACAGAUGAAAUUGAAUUCAUCGUUUCUAAUCUAAUUCGACUAACAUGGAAAAAUGAAAACGCACAUCAAGAUUUAACAGAAGCUCUUUUGUGAAAUCUUAGGAGACAUAGCAAAGAGAUUGAGUAUUUUUGUAAUCCUAAAAUUCUCCAUAGUGAAUAAGAACAAGAAGGGAGACCUUUGCUCCUCCAUCAGCCAUUAGAGGUUGUUGGAGAUGAUGUUACUCCUCGGCCAACUGCACCUGCAAUAAUAUCAACUCCGCUCCAAUUUCAUCCCAACCAAAUUUUUCCUGCAGCCACAUUAUGAAGGAAGUAUCCAACAACAAAGUCAAGGUUUAAACCAUGUUCAGAAAAUAUAAAGAUAGUCAGAGAAACUGAAAAAUGGAGUCAUGCCGAGCAAGAGGAAGAUACUUUGUGAAAGUGCACACAUUUUAGCAGAAGCAUGACUUCCUUAAACUGAUAAGGAAGUAGUGGACUAAUAUCCAGUUUUCUUUGUACGUCCCACGUCACUCAAUAAGGGUAAUCUCUUGCAAUUUAAUUCAAUAACGAUGACUAAAAAACUCAAAAAAGUCCCUAAGGUUAUCAAAGAAAAUGGCAUUUGUUGCAUCGGAUCAAAAAAGAUCAACAACUUACAAGGAUGUUACGCAGUUCAAUAUAAGAUGGGGCGAUUGUACUUUGAACUCCUGUUAUUUGUGGACAGAGUAGAGUUUAAAAUUUUCACCUAUAAUUUUGACUUUGUAGUCGUUCAUGUACGUGUUGAGACAGGUAUACCGCUUUACAUUCUUUAUUUGUUUAAAUUUUGAGUAUGUCAAAAUGGUUUAUGAAAUGCUGCAUAUUUGUUUAUGUCUGAUAUACAUACUUAAGCAUAAAUGAACUUAAACGCGGUGAACAUAUCAUGCCUGGACUCCUAAAAAAACCACAUGUGUGGCUAAGUUUUGGUUUAGAUGAUUAACCGUACACGAACUUUAUCUCUGUGGUUCUCUAGAAAUCCAUUUUUUUAGUAUCAUCACUAUAUAAACGUGGUUUCUUUUAGCUGAACACUAAAAUCAAACUAUCGUCAUAGUAUAUGUUGUUGGUAUUUUGUGUAUGAAAACAUCUUUUACUAUAAAUGUUUGUCAUUUAAUUUUGAAUGUCGCUAGAUAUGGCCAUUCAUUUAUUGCUUCGGAGACACUAUGUCAUUCUUUACUUUUCGUGAUGAAUAGUUAAGAUUCGUGGAAGAUGCCAUGUGAGAUUUGCCAUUUUAGUCAUUAUUUAUACUAUAUUAACUCAUAAGUAACCAACCAUAAAUAGACUAGGUUGUAUAAUGUAGAGAGUAGUGGAGAAGAUCCACAAACCAAUGAUAUGAUAAGGAGGUCAAGAUGAGAUGUAUCGAGUUGUUCGGGUCUCCCUAUCUCCAAGUAUCUAUGUCUCAAACAUACAGUAAAAAGUGUACUAGAAAAAUCUUUCGUUCUUCUUUUCUUCUAUAAAAUGUUGUCCAUUACACAUAAUAAGUUUGACGUACACAUUAUACCGUAAAACAAAACUUUACCGAUUUUCAGCUAUUGGUCAGGUAGAUCAGUUCAUGAACAAAAUUUUACCGAUUUUCAGUUAUUGGUCAGGUAAAUUAGUUCAUGUGCACAUUAUUAGCAUACUUAAUUCAAUAUUAAUUAUUUCUAAAUUUAUUUGCUCUUCUUAUUCUGUGGUAGGUUUGACGGCUCACCAUUUGGCCAAGUUUUCCCCAUCUUAGACUCAAUAUUAACACUUCAAUUGGUAGGGUACCUAACUUUCAGAAUGAGCUUAGAAAAAACUUACACAACCAGUUUCAAGCAUCAACAACAAGUCAUCAUCUCACAAAGACCUUGGAAUUAUAAUGAAAUAACCAUUUAAAGGGAAUAGGAAGCCACUAUGAAUGAUAACAAUAUGAGUUACUCUGAAGUUAUUAUUUUUUGCAGCUUGAAAGAUUUCAUUCCACAUUAUCAAGCUCAACCAUGAUCGUGAAGUUUAUUGGCAGAGCAACUGAUGGAAAUGUACAGGUUGUAUAUACAGUUUGGAAUUUUAGUUACUCAUAAAAAUCGGGAGCA